AAAAUACAGGAAGUCCUGAACUAAACUAGUAACAUAGUACUUUGCGGUGUUUUACUAAUAUUUAUUAUAUAAAUUGUAUAGUGCUUUAAGAGAUGUCGAGCACUGAUAAAACUGAUAAUCUCACAAGUGAGAUUAUUUAUGAUAAUUUCACAUGUGAAAAUUAUCGCUUUUCAAUUAUCGCUUUUCUGUAAAAAUUAUCGCUUUUCAAAGACUGUCCUUUA